rnacentral:rRNA from 1 species
UACGGAGGGUGCGAGCGUUGUCCGGAAUCACUGGGCGUAAAGGGCGCGUAGGCGGCCCGUCAAGUCCCGUGUGAAAGCCCCCCGGCUCAACCGGGGAACGGCGCGGGAAACUAGCAGGCUUGAGUUCGGGGAGAGGGAAGCGGAAUUCCGGGUGUAGCGGUGAAAUGCGCAGAUAUCCGGAGGAACACCGGUGGCGAAGGCGGCUUCCUGGGGCCGACACUGACGCUGAGGCGCGAAAGCAUGGGGGAGCGAACAGG